UACGUAGGGUGCAGGCGUUAAUCGGAAUUACUGGGCGUAAAGCGUGCGCAGGCGGUUCGUUGUGUCGGCGGUGAAAGCCCCGGGCUCAACCUGGGAAUGGCCGUUGAAACUGGCGAACUGGAGUGUGGCAGAGGGGGGGUGGAAUUCCGCGUGUAGCAGUGAAAUGCGUAGAGAUGCGGAGGAACACCGAUGGCGAAGGCAGCCCCCCUGGGCUAACACUGACGCUCAGGCACGAAAAGCGUGGGGAGCAAACAGG
rnacentral:rRNA from 1 species